rnacentral:misc_RNA from 1 species
GCUUCAAAAACAUUCAUCUUUGAUUUACCUUAUAAAUGGGAAAGAUGAAAAAGGGCAUACACCUGUCCAUCUAUGUAAGGCUUACCAUCCUAAAUUGCCUUAUUUCAUACGAAAGGGAAAUACUGAUAAGUUCAAGCUUUGGAGAAAACUGCAUUGUCAAAUCCCAAGAUACUCAUCCUCAAAGAAGAAGGAAAUUUUAGAAUGGAUGGAAGACCUUGGCACUGGACCACUGGGAGAAAUUCAGUACUACGAAAAAGAAAACAGAGAAGCAAACAUGAUGCUUAAAUUCGAAAAAGCCAAAGACUCUCAUUUGGUAGCUGCGGCACUUAUAGCAACAGUAACCUUUACUGCCGCAUUUACCGUACCUGGCGGUUUUUUAAGUGAUGAUAAAAGUGCUAAUACAAGUGCUGGCAAUUUGACACAAGCUAAUACAAGUGCCAACAAAAGGUAUUUAAAACUGGGGAGUCCUAUCCUAGCCGANNNNNNAAAGCAUUUAUCAUAUCAGAUACUAUAGCUAUGGUUUUAUCAACUUGUUCUGUCUUCAUUCAUCUUGUGCUGGCGAUCUCAGGGUAUCUGGAAAGAUACUAUUGGCUAAUAAGUUAUGCUUUUAAUUUCCUCUUCUUGGCUAUGCUGGCAAUGGUAAUUACAUUGGUGACGGGCGUUUGUGCAUAUUUAAAAGCAUCCUUAAGUGCAGUUGUUUAUGGCAUCGGAUUUAUCUUUUCGGUCUUCCUAUUUUAUUUGAUCAUAAGAGUAUUAUGGAGUUUCAGUUCUUUGGAUGACCAUGAAGAUGUUGUUGGUGUUAAAAAAAUUUUUUUAUGGCUGAUUGGCGGAAUCUUUUCUCGGUCGAGAAAAUUUUCAAAUGAUGAUGAUGACGAUGACGAUGACGAUCAUAAAAUGGAAGCUUUGCCUUUGCUGUGGCUGAUUGUCCGGAUCAUUUUGUGCUUGUGUAUUUUGUUUUUACUUCUUACACUGUUCCUGCGAUUAUUCUAUCCUCCUACCCAUGUGAAUUAUUAUUAAGAUUAUAAGAAAGUCGCCAAUUAAGGAAGAUAGUAAAGAAUGUUAUUUGGGUAAUAUGUUGCACUAGAGCAGAUACUUAGCAGCCUAUAACGGCAUAUGUACAUGGCAUGUAAUAUCUUUUUAGUUUAAUUC